rnacentral:misc_RNA from 1 species
GAUGAAGAACGUAGCGAAAUGCGAUACUUGGUGUGAAUUGCAGAAUCCCGUGAACCAUCGAGUCUUUGAACGCAAGUUGCGCCUCAAGCCAUUAGGUUGAGGGCACGUCUGCCUGGGCGUCACAUAUCGUUGCCUGAUGCCAGUUUCCUCGUGAUGGGUGACUGUGCAGGGCGAAUGAUGGCUUCCCGUGAGCAUUGUUGCCUCAUGGUUGGUUGAAAAUUGAGUCCUUGGUAGGGAGCGCCGUGAUAGAUGGUGGGUGAGUGACGAACGAGACCCAAUCAUGUGAGACCCCUACCGAAUUUGGCCUUCAUGACCCACAUGCGUCUUUGGAACGCUCAUGACGAGACCUCAGGUCAGGCGGGGCUACCCGCUGAGUUUAAGCAUAUCAUAAGCGGAGGA